rnacentral:rRNA from 1 species
GAUGAACGCUGGCGGCGUGCCUAAUACAUGCAAGUCGAGCGAACAGACGAGGAGCUUGCUCCUCUGACGUUAGCGGCGGACGGGUGAGUAGCACGUGGAUAACCUACUUAUAAGACUGGGAUAACUUCGGGAAACCGGAGCUAAUACCGGAUAAUAUAUUGAACCGCAUGGUUCAAUAGUGAAAGACGGUUUUGCUGUCACUUAUAGAUGGAUCCGCGCCGCAUUAGCUAGUUGGUAAGGUAACGGCUUACCAAGGCAACGAUGCGUAGCCGACCUGAGAGGGUGAUCGGCCACACUGGAACUGAGACACGGUCCAGACUCCUACGGGAGGCAGCAGUAGGGAAUCUUCCGCAAUGGGCGAAAGCUUGACGGAGCAACGCCGCGUGAGUGAUGAAGGUCUUCGGAUCGUAAAACUCUGUUAUUAGGGAAGAACAAAUGUGUAAGUAACUAUGCACGUCUUGACGGUACCUAAUCAGAAAGCCACGGCUAACUACGUG